AGUGGAUGGGGAGCAACCUAGUUGUGCGUGUGUAAAGGUAGUGCCAAGAAAAGCGAUGAUCAUGUUGAAAAUCAAUUCCCGGUACCCGAAACCGACACAGGUGGGCAAGUAGAGAAUACUAAGGGGCGCGAGGUAACUCUCUCCAAGGAACUCGGCAAAAUGACCCCGUAACUUAGGGAGAAGGGGUGCCACCGAGAGGUGGUCGCAGUGAAGAGGCCCAGGCGACUGUUUAGCAAAAACAUAGGUCUCUGCAAACUCGUAGAGGAGGUAUAGGGGCUGACGCCUGCCCAGUGCCGGAAGGUUAAAGAAGUUGGUCAGUUUUAGGAUGAAGCUAGCGACUGAAGCCCCGGUGAACGGCGGCCGUAACUAUAACGGUCCUAAGGUAGCGAAAUUCCUUGUCGGGUAAGUUCCGACCCGCACAAAAGGCGUAACGAUCUGGCGCUGUCUCGGAGAGAGGCUCGGCGAAAUAGGAUUGUCUGUGAAGAUACGGACUACCUGCAUUUGGACAGAAAGACCCUAUGAAGCUUUACUAUAGCUUGGAAUUGUGUUCGGGCUUCCUGUGCGCAGGAUAGGUGGGAGGCGUAGAAGGUAUUCUUGUGGGGAUACUGGAGCCAACGGUGAGAUACCACUCUCAGGAGGCUAGAAUUCUAACUUAAUUAAGGACAGUUUCAGGUGGGUAGUUUGACUGGGGCGGUCGCCUCCAAAAAGGUAACGGAGGCGUACAAAGGUUCCCUCAGACUGGUUGGAAAUCAGUCGAAGAGUGCAAAGGCAGAAGGGAGCUACUGCGAGAAGUACAGUUCGAGCAGGGUGGAAACACGGUCUUAGUGAUCCGACGGUGCUGUGUGGAAGGGCCGUCGCUCAACGGAUAAAAGUUACUCUAAGGAUAACAGGCUGAUCUCCCCCAAGAGUUCACAUCGACGGGGAGGUUUGGCACCUCGAUGUCGGCUCAUCGCAACCUGGGGCGGAAGUACGUCCCAGGGGUUGGGCUGUUCGCCCAUUAAAGCGGUACGUGAGCUGGGUUCAGAACGUCGUGAGACAGUUCGGUCCAUAUCCGAUGUAGGCGUGAGAAUAUUGAGAGGAGCCUUCCUUAGUACGAGAGGACCGGGAAGGACGCACCGCUGGUGUACCUGUUAUGAUGCCAAUUGUAAACGCAGGGUAGCCAAGUGCGGAGAGGAUAACCGCUGAAAGCAUCUAAGUGGGAAGCCCACCUCAAGAUGAGUAUUCUGGUGUAAGGUCACGGGAAGACGACCCGUAAAUAGGCACGAGGUGGAAGUGCAGAGAUGUAUGAAGCCGAAGUGUACUAAUAGACCGUCGGCUUGACC
rnacentral:rRNA from 1 species